UACAGAGGCCCCAAGCGUUACUGAGAAUCACUGGGUUAAAGGGUGCGUAGGUGGUCCGUUAAGUUCGUUGUGAAAUCCCUGGGCUCAACCCAGGAAAUGCUUCGAAUACUGGCGGACUUGAGGCUAGUAGAGGUCACUGGAACUGACGGUGGAGCGGUGAAAUGCGUAGAUAUCGUCAGGAACGCCGAUGGUGAAGACAGGUGACUGGGCUAGUUCUGACACUGAGGCACGAAAGCGUGGGGAGCGAACGGG
rnacentral:rRNA from 1 species